AGAGUUUGAUCMUGGCUCAGAACGAACGCUUGCGGCGUGCUUARCACAUGCAAGUCGAACGAGAAAGGGGCUUCGGUCCUGAGUAAAGUGGCGCACGGGUGAGUAACGCGUAGGUAAUCUACCCCUGUGUUCGGGACAACAUCGGGAAACUGGUGCUAAUACCGGAUACGGUUCACGGAUUGCGAAAUAAGUGAAGGAAAGAUGGGGACCCUUCGGGGCCUAUUGCACGGGGAUGAGCCUGCGUACCAUUAGCUAGUUGGCAGGGUAAGGGCCUACCAAGGCGACGAUGGUUAGCGGGUCUGAGAGGAUGAUCCGCCACACUGGCACUGGAACACGGGCCAGACUCCUACGGGAGGCAGCAGUGAGGAAUUUUGCACAAUGGGGGAAACCCUGAUGCAGCGACGCCGCGUGAGUGACGAAGGUCUUCGGAUCGUAAAGCUCUGUCAGCAGGGAAGAAAUGUGCGAUGGCUAAUAUCCAUAGUACUUGACGGUACCUGCAAAGGAAGCACCGGCUAACUCCGUGCCAGCAGCCGCGGUAAUACGGAGGGUGCGAGCGUUGUUCGGAUUUACUGGGCGUAAAGGGCGCGUAGGCGGCCUGCUAAGUCAUAUGUGAAAGCCCACGGCUCAACCGUGGAAGUGCAUGUGAAACUGACAGGCUUGAGUACUGGAGGGGAGUGUGGAAUUCCCGGUGUAGAGGUGAAAUUCGUAGAUAUCGGGAGGAAUACCGGUGGCGAAGGCGACACUCUGGACAGAUACUGACGCUGAGGCGCGAAAGCGUGGGGAGCAAACAGGAUUAGAUACCCUGGUAGUCC
rnacentral:rRNA from 1 species